rnacentral:rRNA from 1 species
AUUGAACGCUGGCGGCAGGCCUAACACAUGCAAGUCGAACGAGUGGCGGACGGGCGAGUAAUGUCUGGGAAACUGCCUGAUGGAGGGGGAUAACUACUGGAAACGGUAGCUAAUACCGCAUACCACCAUUUGUGCCCAGAUUGGAUUAGCUUGUUGGUGGGGUAACGGCUCACCAAGGCGACGAUCCCUAGCUGGUCUGAGAGUAGGACCAGCCACAGUGGAACUGAGACACGGUCCAGACUCCUACGGGAGGCAGCAGUGGGGAAUAUUGCACAAUGGGCGCAAGCCUGAUACAGCCAUGCCGCGUGUAUGAAGAAGGCCGUCGGGUUGUAAAGUACUUUCAGCGGGGAAGCGUUACCCGCAGAAGAAGCACCGGCUAACUCCGUGCCAGCAGCCGCGGUAAUAC